rnacentral:rRNA from 1 species
GACGAACGCUGGCGGCGUGCCUAACACAUGCAAGUCGAGCGAAUGAAGUUCCUUCGGGAACGGAUUUAGCCGCGGACGGGUGAGUAACACGUGGGCAACCUGCCUCAUAGAGGGGAAUAGCCUUCCGAAAGGGAGAUUAAUACCGCAUAAGAUUGUAGUACUGCAUGGUACAGCAAUUAAAGGAGCAAUCCGCUAUGAGAUGGGCCCGCGGCGCAUUAGCUAGUUGGUGAGGUAACGGCUCACCAAGGCGACGAUGCGUAGCCGACCUGAGAGGGUGAUCGGCCACAUUGGGACUGAUACACGGCCCAGACUCCUACGGGAGGCAGCAGUGGGGAAUAUUGCACAAUGGGGGAAACCCUGAUGCAGCAACGCCGCGUGAGUGAUGACGGCCUUCGGGUUGUAAAGCUCUGUCUUCAGGGACGAUAAUGACGGUACCUGAGGAGGAAGCCACGGCUAACUACGUGCCAGCAGCCGCCGUAA